rnacentral:rRNA from 1 species
UACGGAGGGAGCUAGCGUUGUUCGGAAUUACUGGGCGUAAAGCGCACGUAGGCGGCUUUGUAAGUUAGAGGUGAAAGCCUGGGGCUCAACUCCAGAACUGCCUUUAAAACUGCAUCGCUUGAAUCCAGGAGAGGUGAGUGGAAUUCCGAGUGUAGAGGUGAAAUUCGUAGAUAUUCGGAAGAACACCAGUGGCGAAGGCGGCUCACUGGCCCGGUACUGACGCUGAGGUGCGAAAGCGUGGGGAGCAAACAGG